rnacentral:rRNA from 1 species
UACGUAGGGGGCAAGCGUUGUCCGGAACCAUUGGGCGUAAAGCGCGUGUAGGCGGCCCGGUAAGUCCGCUGUGAAAGUCGGGGGCUCAACCCUCGAAUGCCGGUGGAUACUGUCGGGCUAGAGUGCGGGAGAGGCGAGUGGAAUUCCUGGUGUAGCGGUGAAAUGCGCAGAUAUCAGGAGGAACACCAAUUGCGAAGGCAGCUCGCUGGAACGUAACUGACGCUGAGACGCGAAAGCGUGGGGAGCAAACAGG